rnacentral:misc_RNA from 1 species
GGGUAGCAAUUCAAGACAAUAUACGUACUCCAGAUUUUGGCAAUUCUCUAUUGACUUAUGGUAUAACAUUUUCAUGGACCAUUUAAUAGGCCAACCAUUUUCUCUGGAUCAAUUUCAUCGAUUGGAAGUACCAACAAUAGAUUUUUUUUUUCCAGCUUUUGAAAAUUGACACACAUUUCAACGAUCAUGCACAAGCUUUUUAUUUGGCACAGAAUUAUGUGCACCAGAUGCAUACACGUAUGCUUACAAGUAUAGACAUUGACUUUUGUCCACUUUGAAAAUCAAACUCAACAGAAAUUUAUUCCCAUUUCCCCCUAAUAUGCAUGGCUAGUAAUGUGUACUAGGACACGUACUUAAGAUAUACAUGAGACGUUUCAAAUAUAUGAUCCUAUAUCAAUUUAUAUGUACGAAAUUGUUUCAUAGGUUGUGCUUGUUUGCCUGAAAAUUUUCAGACUCGGGCCAUGCACUCCGGUGGAGCAACCGGGUAUCGAGACUUGUCAGUACAGUAGUCGUAGAUCAUGUGGUUCAUACGAACCCACCUAUAUUUCCUAGCUUCUACGGCGUUGAGGGAUUGGUAAGUAGCACCCUCCCACCAGUUUCUGGGGUUUGAGGCACAAUUUGCUGGUCCUGGGACUGGACAUCCUUCAAUGUCAAAGUCCUUGUAGUAUGCAUAGAAUGGGGCUUUGCUCCAGUCAAUCUUUUCCAGGCCACCCCUUGUUGCCCAAUCAUCGGCUUCCCAUAAUGUUGAAUAUACUCCCAUAGGCUGGAGCUUGGGGUAUGGGAUUCCUUUUGCUUCAUUAUUCUUGUAAACCCUGAUAGGCACAUCAUCUACAUAAAACCUGCAACCCCACCAGAAGUAACACAAUUAAGAUCACUGCUUAAUAUUGUCACAACUAAUACUGAUCUUAAUAAAUGUGGCAUUAAUAUAUAUGAUAGACAGUUGCCCUCUUGCUUAAGCUUUUAUUGAUAAAUGAUGGAUGAUUUUUUUACUGCAAACCAAUUAAACUUACACAAUUUGGCGAUGGUUCCAGAGGAUAGUGUACAGGUGGAAGUCUACGGAAGGGUCAAACCACAAGUUAAUUCUUUGCUCUCUAUCACCCUUUCCAUGAGCAUAGAUAUUUGUUUGGACUGUGUAUGGCUGUCCUGUUCUAUUCCCCAAGAAUUCAAAGUCCAGUUCGUCUCGUAUAUUGUCUGUGUCCGAAUUCAUAUAAAAGGCUGUGACAGUUCCUGCAGAGUCUCCAGGGAUGAGCUUGAUCCUCAUGCUUACACGACCAAACAAGUACUGCAUCUUGGAGGCAAACCCACAUCCUGAGCUUUGGUCUAGAACGAGUUGGAUAGCCCUCCCUCCAUCGAUUUGCCUGAUAUGGGAUUCAGACCAAGUGACUUUAAAAUCCUGAAGAAAAGUUGCAGGUCUAGCAGAGACAGGGAGAGAAAAUGCAAGAAAAUAAAAGAAAAGGAAGAAGAAAGUAGCAUUUCUUAAGUAGAGACACAAGGCCAUGUUUUGUAUGUGUACUUUUGAGUAGAAGAUUAAGAGUAUGGUACAUAAAGAGGGUUAUGGGGGUGAAGAGUUUAUAUAGGUGUGGAGAUUAAGGGUAGUGAGGGCUAGAUGAUGGUGACUGCUGCCAUCCGAUGGAAAGCAACAUUUAGCGUUUGGCUUUCAAGUCCAGCUAAUGGCAAGCCGUCAUUAGGCCCUACUCAACCGUGAAAGUUAGCGGUUCAAGCUCUCUUGUUCUCUUGUAUCCUCAGAAUUGUUCAUCUUUCUGUAGAUGAUACUUGGGAAGUGACUAUCUGCGAUAGUAGAUCGAACUAUUAGUGUGUGGAUGCUACUAAAACUUGGGGCUUUCCUGCCCUGAUCUCUCCUAUAAAGGGAACAGUAGUAAAUCUUCAAUGAUUGAUGAGAAUUAAACCCAGUUUGGCUUCUCCAGUUCUCC